AUCAACUUUCGAUGGUAGGAUAGAGGCCUACCAUGGUGGUAACGGGUAACGGGGUGUUAGGGCACGACACCGGAGAGGGAGCCUGAGAAACGGCUACCACAUCCAAGGAUGGCAGCAGGCGCGCAAAUUACCCAAUCCCGACACGGGGAGGUAGUGACAAUAAAUAACAAUACGGGGUCCUUUGGGUCUCGUAAUUGGAAUGAGUACAAUUUAAAUCUCUUAACGAGGAACAAUUGGAGGGCAAGUCUGGUGCCAGCAGCCGCGGUAAUUCCAGCUCCAAUAGCGUAUAUUAAAGUUGUUGCAGUUAAAAAGCUCGUAGUUGAAUUUCGGGGUCGGUAGGUUGGUCAUGCCAUCGGUAUGCACUGGUCUCACCGAUUCCUCCCUCUUGUAGAAGCGUAAUGCCAUUAAGUUGGUGUUGCGGGGAAACAGGACUGUUACUUUGAAAAAAUUAGAGCGUUUAAAGCAGGCUAACGCUUGAAUACAUUAGCAUGGAAUAAUGAAAUAGGACGUCGAUCCUAUUUUGUUGGUUUCUAGGAUUGACGUAAUGAUUAAUAGGGAUAGUUGGGGGCAUUAGUAUUCAAUUGUCAGAGGUGAAAUUCUUGGAUUUAUUGAAGACUAACUACUGCGAAAGCAUUUGCCAAGGAUGUUUUCAUUAAUCAAGAACGAAAGUUAGGGGAUCGAAGACGAUCAGAUACCGUCGUAGUCUUAACCAUAAACUAUGCCGACUAGGGAUCGGAUGAUGUUAAUUUUUUAAUGACUCAUUCGGCGCCUUACGGGAAACCAAAGUGUUUGGGUUC
rnacentral:rRNA from 1 species